AGAGUUUGAUCCUGGCUCAGAGCGAACGCUGGCGGCGUGCUUAACACAUGCAAGUCGAGUGCGCGCCUGUAGCAAUACAGGUGGCGCACGGCGCACGGGUGCGUAACACGUGGGUAAUCUGCCCUUCGAUGGGGAAUAACCUCGCGAAAGCGAGGCUAAUUCCGCAUAACAUUCCGAUGAUCUUGGUCAAUGGAUUCAAAGCCGUAAGGCGUCGGAGGAGGAGCCCGCGCACGAUUAGCUAGUUGGUGAGGUAACGGCUCACCAAGGCUAUGAUCGUUAGCUGGUCUGAGAGGAUGGCCAGCCACACUGGAACUGAGACACGGUCCAGACUCCUACGGGAGGCAGCAGUGGGGAAUCUUGCACAAUGGGCGAAAGCCUGAUGCAGCGACGCCGCGUGGGGGAUGAAGCUUUUCGGAGUGUAAACCCCUUUCGACCCGGACGAAUGCCCCGCAAGGGGACUGACGGUACGGGUAUAAGAAGCCCCGGCUAACUACGUGCCAGCAGCCGCGGUAAGACGUAGGGGGCCAGCGUUGCUCGGAAUUACUGGGUGUAAAGGGUUCGUAGGCGGUGCGGUAAGUUGGGAGUGAAAUCUCUGGGCUCAACCCAGAGGCUGCUUCCAAAACUGCUGUGCUGGAGUGUGGGAGAGGCGCGUGGAAUUGCAGGUGUAGCGGUGAAAUGCGUAGAUAUCUGCAGGAACACCCGUGGCGAAAGCGGCGCGCUGGACCACAACUGACGCUGAGGAACGAAAGCUAGGGGAGCAAACAGGAUUAGAUACCCUGGUAGUCC
rnacentral:rRNA from 1 species